UUGCAGUUAAAAAGCUCGUAGUCGGAUUUCAGUAUUAGGCCCUUCUUCCAAUACGGUUGCUAGUGGUCUUUACUUCCUUAACAGAAUCUUUCAUCUCAUUAAUUUGGGGUGUUUGGGGCCCGUUUCUUUUACUUUGAGAAAAUUAGAGUGUUCAAAGCGGGUUUUCGCCUGGAUAUUACUCUUGGAAUAAUAAUAUAGGACUUUGGUUCUUUUUUGUUGGUGACUUAGAACCGAAGUAAUGAUUGAUAGGGACAGUUGGGGUCAUUCGUACUACGAAGCGAGAGGUGAAAUUCAUGGACCUUUGUAUGACGAACUACUGCGAAAGCAUUUGACUAGGAUGUUCCCGUUGAUCAAGAACGAAAGUUGGGGGAUCGAAGACGAUCAGAUACCGUCGUAGUCUCAACCAUAAACUAUGCCAGCUAGGGAUUGGAGGAAGAUCAUUUUACGUCUCCUUCAGCACCUUAUGAGAAAUCAAAGCAUUUGGGUUCCGGGGGGAGUAUGGUCGCAAGGCUGAAACUUAAAGGAAUUGACGGGAGGGCACCACCAGGAGUGGAGCCUGCGGCUUAAUUUGAUUCAACACGGGAAAACUUACCAGGUCCGGACAUGGGAAGGAUUGACAGAU
rnacentral:rRNA from 1 species